GCGCGCAUAUGCGUAACACGGAACGCACCUUAUAUGUACAAGACUCGCGCUUGUGUGCGAUGUGUGCGUACUGCGUAAGGCCGGGUCUACAAUAACAGUUUUAAGAUUUAAGACUUAAGAAAUUAACUAAUCACAAUUGAAUUUAGAGAAGAAUAACGAAUAUGAUUGGCCAAUUUCUUAAAUUUUAAGUCUUAAAACUCUCAUUGUAGACCCGGGCUAACAGUACUGUUCACUGCUGACAAUGAGUCGGGGCUGGAACCCGGGACCACAUGCUAUAUAUUAUUGUAGAAAUUUUAACUACAAAUUGUGGACCAUAAAGUUUUUCUGCUAGAACAAUAAACUUGGUAAGUAAUUCUUCUAUAUAAUUUGUAUAUUCAACUGCAUUUUCCAUCGAUAACAUUCGACAAGCUACAUGAAGUAAUAAAAAAUGUUAAUAACAAGAUAAAAUGAUAAUCCAUGGCUUUAAAUCUAGCAUGGUGCUCAAUACCUCUAAUCUUUCGAUGGAAUUCGUCGGGCUGUUGAAAUCUUAUUUUCUCCAUUUGGCUUGAUAAUAUUCUCUUCUGACUGCUACUAAGAUGUGUAUUAAAAUCAGAUAACAUCCAAGCAUCAAUUAAACGUUUCAUGACUCCUAGAUAACACAAAUGCAUCAAGUCGAGAAGAAAAUCAUUGACCAUGUUCACUGAUGGCUGUAUGUAUAUUAAAGGUGAUGCUGCUGUAUGAUGUUCCACAUGUGAAAAAUUUCGAAAACUUUCAUCGGUUCUUUUGGAAGAAUUAAUGUCUAAAUAUGUGGCAAUUUUAUGAUGAGUUUGACGUUCUACCAGACAUUGUUCGCAACCAUAUUUUGCGUUGUGACCCUUAAUACAUUUAAGGAUAUUGACCUCAGCAAUGAAAUCCUUCAAAAAUAAAUUGACUGAUUUUGGUUUGCUAUUUCCCACAUAAGCAGCAGCUACGAAAGGCUUAUAAAUAUCUCGCUUGAAGUGUAUUUUAAUUAGAAUAGGCCACAUAGAUUUUAUACUCGAUUUAAAUAAUUUUAUUCUAUCAAUAUUAACUUGUAAUUCGAUAGUACUAUUCCUAGCAAACACCAAUAUAUAAUUGUUACAUUGCUAUAAUAAAACGGAAUAUAACGAGUAUAGACUUCCUGAUUUACUGGUCAAGAGAGAUAUCUUGAUUAAAUCUUCAUGAUGAAAUGUUGUUAAUCAUUAA